UUUUCUUUUACGAAUUUCGAAGGUUAUUGAACCUGGAAACGAUAAAGAGCCAGAUGAUGUAGAGAUUAAGGUGCCUGAACUUAAUGCUAAAGAUGUGAAACUAUGGAGAAGAUUAUUGCUGAAGGGACAUGGUUUUCUUUCAACGGAGAUGCAGUAUAACUAGUGCUAGUCGAGCCUUCUUGCUGAUCACUAA